rnacentral:rRNA from 1 species
CGUUAGCGGCGGACGGGUGAGUAACACGUGGGUAACCUACCUAUAAGACUGGGAUAACUUCGGGAAACCGGAGCUAAUACCGGAUAAUAUUUCGAACCGCAUGGUUCGAUAGUGAAAGAUGGUUUUGCUAUCACUUAUAGAUGGACCUGCGCCGUAUUAGCUAGUUGGUAAGGUAACGGCUUACCAAGGCUACGAUACGUAGCCGACCUGAGAGGGUGAUCGGCCACACUGGAACUGAGACACGGUCCAGACUCCUACGGGAGGCAGAAAACAGCA